GGCGCUCGCGGCAAUCGCGACGCGCCACGCUUGGCUGCUCGCCAAGGACGACGCAAGAACCGUUAACGUCGCUUCCUCGGGCCGCUAGCUCCAAGGAACAAUCGAAACGCGGCUUCUCCGUUACGUCAGACCGGAACCACCCGUGGCAGGGAAGUGACGAAUUUGAAUCAAGGCGCGGAGAAAGAAUAUCUGUACCCCGGGCUACGGGCCGGCCUCCUGUCCUCGGGCUCGACCUUCUCGCCUGGCGUUCACCGAAUCGACUCUUCGAGGCGUGGGACAGGACUGAUACGUCUUCACUGCGUGGAGCACUUGCGAACCCCAUUGGACAUCUCGACCAUGCUCAACGUAUGCAUCGAGUGGCCCAUUUCACACUUUCUGGUGGGCGGAUCACUGAAACGGCAAGACACCGAAUUGGCGG
rnacentral:lncRNA from 1 species